AGAGCGAACGCUGGCGGCAGGCUUAACACAUGCAAGUCGAGCGGGCGUAGCAAUACGUCAGCGGCAGACGGGUGAGUAACGCGUGGGAACAUACCUUUUGGUUCGGAACAACACAGGGAAACUUGUGCUAAUACCGGAUAAGCCCUUACGGGGAAAGAUUUAUCGCCGAAAGAUUGGCCCGCGUCUGAUUAGCUAGUUGGUGAGGUAAUGGCUCACCAAGGCGACGAUCAGUAGCUGGUCUGAGAGGAUGAUCAGCCACAUUGGAACUGAGACACGGCCCAAACUCCUACGGGAGGCAGCAGUGGGGAAUAUUGGACAAUGGGGGCAACCCUGAUCCAGCCAUGCCGCGUGAGUGAUGAAGGCCCUAGGGUUGUAAAGCUCUUUUGUGCGGGAAGAUAAUGACGGUACCGCAAGAAUAAGCCCCGGCUAACUUCGCGCCAGCAGCCGC
rnacentral:rRNA from 1 species